rnacentral:rRNA from 1 species
UACAGAGGGUGCAAGCGUUAUUCGGAAUUAUUGGGCGUAAGGAGCGCGUAGGCGGUCUGAUCAGUCUGGUGUGAAAUCCCUGGACUCAAUUCAGGAAGCGCAUUGGAUACUGUCAGACUCGAGUACAGGAGAGGUGAGCGGAAUUCCCGGUGUAGAGGUGAAAUUCGUAGAUAUCGGGAGGAACAACAGUUGCGAAGGCGGCUCACUGGACUGUAACUGACGCUGAGGCGCGAAAGCGUGGGGAGCAAACAGG